rfam:Paenibacillus dendritiformis C454 PDENDC1000016, whole genome shotgun sequence.
UAUUGACAAAGGCAAACCUGUUGAAAAGCAGGGACGCAAAGCUAUAGGGGCUUCAGCGCCGCCAGCGCUCAGCCAGCCAGCUACCAAU